CAGGCAAACACUAGGAAACAGGAACAGAACAUAAUGUGACAAAUGUGUAACUCAAAUACCAAUGCAUAAAAGUUGGGCUCGGCUGUUUGAUGGAUUUGUUCUUUCUAGUAGAACUCAAAAUGAAAACAGAGACAUUUUGUUUCUCAUCCAGGCCGGAGAAAUGUAAUGGUAACCACUGUAAUUCAACAGACGAUCACUCCACACACCAUGGCAACUGUUGCCACGAGACAAAUAGCGAUGACAACAAGGUUUAGACUCAGUCCCGGGCUUACGGUGACCUCUGAAAUCCGCAGGGGCCCCUGGGAGAUGAAGUGACUGGCGCUCUGGAUGGGAGCCUCUCUUUUGUGAUGGUGGUGGGACGGUGGAGCGACUGUGCUGUUGACGCAGCCCUGAGAGCAGCGGGUGUUGGGAUUGUUCGCCUGGUAUAUGAUGAUUGAGCAGCUGAUGAACACCUAGAGAGGGAAGUGAGGAAGACGAAAAGAUAAGAGACAGUGACAGAAGACAGGGUUAAACAGAAAUAUUUCUAUUUUAUUUUACUUGUAGAGAUGUGCUGUAUUCUCUUAUGGAGUCUAUAUCAGAGUAUAUGAGAAGAAACCUCACUUUCAGAAAAACACUUAAAACAUGUUAGCAGCCCUUAAUGCAACUGCAUGACAGCAAAACUUCACCACAUAUUAAACACAGUGUCACUAGACCAUUUGCCGUCAGAAUGAAAGAUGACAUUUUUUAAAUAUUAUUAAAAAUCAAACAAUAAUAAAAAAUGACAAACGCAAGCUAGGGGCGA
rnacentral:lncRNA from 1 species